UCUUCUUCUCCUUUUUGGUUUCGGCAGACUAGACGCAGUCUAUGGUGCUUAUAUUCUAUUGGAGUGCAGGUACUGCAGCAGCUUCUUCUUGAAACUCAUGAUCAUUACUUUAUCAUUUCCUUUAAGUAAUAAUCAUUAUAUUAAUUAUUUUGUACUGCAGACACGGUGGUUCUUCUGCCUUAGCAUCUCAGUCUGACUGCAUUUCCAUGAAGAAAUGAUCAUAAAUGUUCUUCCUUGAACUGCGUCACCCUGCUGCAGUCUAUAAUGGACUGGCCCGAGGUCUCGCUGCAAACAAGCGGCUGCUGGAAGAGAGUGGAUGAGUUGUGUUUAGUCUCUUUGCUAAAGAUAUUAGGCAAAGUUAAAAAGAUGUUUGUAGGUGUUCACUUCUUAUUUUAGUAUGUUAAAGUCAUCCAAACUUAUUUGCGUCACAUACUCCGUGCUUUUGACUGAGUUCCCACUGAGCAGACUUGGUAUGCAAACCCUCCUCUACACCUACACCUCCUCCUAGGACAGUGUGGUGUUCCUCCCUCAUCCUAUUCACAUCUCUGAGUUACACCUGCACAUCUGUUAUGAAAGGCACAUCAUUAUCUAAGGCAUAUGUCAAGGUCAUAGACAUGUGAUGAUUAUUAGGAACACUUCUAAUAAAUGACUGUUAAGGCAUCAUAGCAGAUUAACAGUUUAAAACAAUACUUCCCAACACUUGGCACUUCUAGGCAUAAACUAAAAUCUUUCUUUACCGAGAGUCUCUCUUCUAUACAUUGUGACACAGUGAUCAAUUGCCCCCGUGUUAGCUUUAAACUUUCUAUCUGACUCAUCAGUACAUGUCCGCAGUGGGCUCACAACAUAAUGUAAACAUAAUAAGAAAACAGUUAAUCACCUGAAACAAUGACUUAAUGAUUGGCAUGACACAUUAGUUCCCACAAGUACCAACCCUUUUUCUUCAUGUAAGUUCUAAACCCCUUCUUUCUAAUGGUGUCUGGGAAGGCUGAUGAGGUAAAGCCCCUCCUCGAUGAGCUUAGCCAACUGGUUAUUGUUUUCUAAUGCUGUCUUGGUAAUGGUAAGUUCCUGUGACUGGGUCACAUGUACAUUUCUUGGAAACAUACAGUCAACAUGCUUUAGUCUUAUAGCUGCUCUUGUCGUGAACAUACAUUGAACAUUGUCCAGUCACACAAAUACCUGUUGUGAAAUUAUCCAAUAAGGAUGUAGAAUAAUUUCACAUGUUCCAAAAGUGAUUCGAGGCCUCAGCACAUCACAUGACUUUAGAUUAGCUUUUGCACAGCUUCUCCAAGAGAAGAUACAGAACUUCAACAGAGAACAGAACAACAAAAAAUGACUCCACAUGUCCUUGAGAAACUGUGAAAGACCUCUCUGAGUUUAAGAAAUACCAGGGCUGAUUUUUCUCCAGCCCUGAAUGGAAUGAGACUGAACAGAUCUGGUCAGAGCAGAGGGAGGGGGAGUUUUCAGAGUUAUAAACCAUGCCAGGGUGGGUCAGACUCAGGGAGUGUGAGUGUGAGUGUCUGAGCUCUACUAUGUGUGUGUGCACGCAGCAGAUUCUCCCCUGCAAACACUUCCAGUGUCACACAGUCUGAACCAGCAGGAUGCAACUGUGUUUGAAGUCCCAGGGGAGAUUUUGGAGCGAGGUUUCACUAUCUGAUCUGAACCCUUAUUCAUGCAGCUUCACUCCUACACAGUGUGUUUAAAAGUAUGUGUACAUGUGUAUGUGUGUUUGUGACAGGGUGUCCAAGAAUUUGAAGAAUAUUUGAAGCUCUUUUUAGAGAGGCCUCUCUGUUUUUAUGUUUUAUCACAUAAAAUUCAUUGUAUGAGUCACAGCAGCUUGUCUAAGGGCUGAUCUAAUCAAAGUCCUAUUUUUCCAGUAGAUGAAGCCUCAUGAAGCUCUGGGGCUUUCUUUCAAUUUGUGCCGAGCUCGUGAGCAAGAAUUGGGCGGGAAGAUUGGCAUUGAUGGAGGUCAGAAGGAGAAGAAAGGAGGAACAGAAAGAGAGGAAGAGACAGAGACAGAGAGAAAGAGGGGAAAAAGGCCCUUGCAGGAGAUGCAACCACAUGUGCAGAAAUUGUUUUUAAGCAGGACACCAUCAGGUGAGUCAGUGAUCAACCAAAGGGAAACCUUUGCGAGAAUCUGUGCACUUCAACAUGCACACAUGAAAGUUGUAUUAAUUAACAUUCAUGUCUUCACCUAAAAAGAAGGAGAAAAGGCAACAACCUCUGAACCUAAACCCCUGACACACAGGUAAUUUUUUCACACCAAACUGCACUCGAUGACUUCCUGACAUCUGGAGAUAACUGGAGAGCCCUCAAAGUUGUUAAUCAUUGGAACAUUCAGCCCCAGAAACCAGACUCCAGUCAGAUUGGAUUAAGAUGUUUGUCCUCGUGUUUAGGAAAGAGGAACAACAGCAGGCUGAAUGCACAUGUUUGAUGGGCCUUAUGAUGAUUUCUUGUCUUCACACAACAUUUGCAGUAAAACGGCCUUCAUCCUAUACUUCUAGGCGGUUCAAAAGCACAGAAAGCAUUGUCACACAUUUAAUCCAACUUUUUCAGAGAUCAACAGCUCCUCCUAGUGGCAUCUUUUUUGGGUUCAUUGUCAACUGAAAUGUUUCCUUAGGAUGGGGAACUGUUUUUGUAUAUGACCUAAUCUUGCCAGAGGCCUGGACCUCAUGCAGAACUGCUCCAAGAGUCCUCUUGAGAAUCAUCAUCAAACAAGUAGGCAAACCAAUCAAUCUCCUAAGAACAAAAGGGUUCAGAGUUUGUAGAAAUUGUUGACUGGACUUUUUACCCAAAAAGAGCCAAAUUCUUACCCAAAGCUAUCUGCAGACCGCUGUUAACACUGGUUAUUAUAAUAUGUUCAUUUACUAUCAUUAACCUCAAUAAUUAUGACUCACCUCAAAAUGUUCAUGUAUCCAUUCACAGAAUUGUGUAUCAAUUAUCAUUAUUUUCUCAUUAUUUAUUGCAUCUGCGUAUAAACAUAAGCAUUCUCUCAUAAAUUCACCAUUUAUUUAAAGUUUUUGUCUUUUUAGUUUUCCUGCAGAAGUUGGUGUCCCUGAAAUCACAACUCUAAUUCUAGAUAUUUAGAUAUGAGACUGAUCUAAUAUUGAUUUAAUGUCUAAUAAUUGAACUGCCCUCUGGAUUAAUAAAAAAUACUGCAAAGGCCGAGUCUUUUAAAAGCUGGGUCCUUGAAAAGCCAGUAAAAGAAAAAUUGUAUGUGUAUGUUAUCAUCAUUUACUGAAAAUCACUUUGUGUGAAUGCUUGUAAGAUUAUCUCUGCUUCUUUUAGACAAUGACUAUGUGAAAAGAGAUGUGAGGAUGUUGAGGCAUUUACAAUGCUGUGACCUUUAAGUUAUGGCUGUUGUUAACUAACAUUUGUAUUUUUUUACUGAACUCAUAACUCACUGUCUGAACUCUGUUCACUUCAGCAACUUAAUAAAUGUUUUCAUUUAACUUACAGGUUGUUUUCAGAACAGUGUGACUUUUGACUUGAUAAGCAGGAACCCGCUGAACCGCGAGGCUCUCUGUGAUCUGCCGGUAUCGACCACAAAUUCAACCUUUGCCAUACUUGGUUAUUGUUUUACUGCUUACCACUUUGUUUUAAGGUGUUGACUCCUUCAAAGUAAAAGAUUUAAAGACAAAGACUACACUCUCUGUUGUCCUUCUCAGCUGACUGCAAGUAGAAUUUUUCUGACAGCUAAGAAAUUAAAAACUGG
rnacentral:lncRNA from 1 species